ensembl:snoRNA Gm22473 predicted gene, 22473
ACCUGUCCCAGAGGCAUUGCAGAUGUAGCUGCUGUGUCACAUGUGUAUCAGUGGGUGGAAGAGGGGAGAGAGACUAUGUCUAUGUUCAGUGUUUCUACCUAUGAACAUAUGAAUGAUUAAUAGCCUAACAUU